GCUUUUGGCUCAUCUCUGAUUCCAUUUUAUUGCUGAGAAUGUAUCAUUAGAGGAUCGCUUUAUCCAUCUCAAUAUAUCUUUGUAUUUUAUGGUUCAUUCUUUUGCAGGAGACUUUGCACAUGCACCAUGAAAAAGUUGAUGAUCUAGAGGCUUCCUUGAUUGGGUACGAGGCAAAAGAAACUAGUGGUGAAACUGAAGAAACUAUGGUACGUGGAAGCUAAGCAAAGCUUGAUUAGGAAUUGGCAGAUUUCUACAGUCACUGUUUAUUGUGUCUUUGCUCUUCAAGACAUGGCAUACUCUGAGAUUUUCUUUUUAUGGGUCGUGAGCAACAAAAGAUUCGGUGGUUUGAACUUUUCAUCUAAAGACGUUGGUCGAAGUGCUUGCACUCUCAGAUAUUUUGAAGGUGAAUGGAGGUAUUCAGGAACUCCAGCUAAAUAGCUCGGGUAUGGAUGAUUACAAGAACAACAACUACAUGCUAUGUGGUACUGCAUUAGAACCUCAGGAGUGUGACUGAGAAGUACUUCGAUGAAGAACUAUCAAGAAGACUUUAUGAUUUAAGCGAGAAGAUGGUUAAAGCCAAUAAGUAAAGAACAUUCAAAUCAAGAGGAUAAGUAACAUCUAUCAAGAUCCUUUAAGUUCAUGUAAUAAGAUGUAGUCGAUAGGAGUAGCUUUGAAUGUCUCCUAAUUAAAAUUUCUUUAUAUGCGAGUAAUUAUGUUUGUUAUAGAAGUGUAAGGAUAAUAAUUUGUAUAUUUAUCUUGGUUGUUUAUCUAAUAAUAUGUUGUUGAUUGAAAUAGAUUCGUUUUUAUUUAUCUUUUAUUUAUCUUUGGUAUUAAAAGAUAAUAGUUUAAAACCUCUUGUCUUUUGUUAA